UUAACAUUUUGACUUGUGUGUGCUCCCCCGCCGAAGAUGAUAAGCCUGACUGCUAACGUUUGCGGUUCAAUUCAUCCGACGUUAAAAAUUUUUUUUUUUAAUUUUGAAAAUUUGGAUAGAUGGACUUUCUUCCAUCUGUCGCCCCAUUUCUUAGGUGUGGGAGUGUGUGGACAUAUAUGUACGGCGUGUCCUGUGCAAGCUUUCGUGCCCGUCUCCACAGAAACAUUACAUUUUUUUUUUUUCUUUUGACUUAAAAAAAGAUUCGGGACCACGGUGGUUCGGAAGCAUUUUGCUGCAAUCAGCUGUUUGAACGGCUCUGGGGCCGUGUGUGAUGUGUUUACAAAGUAGCGCUGUGUUACAUACAAAUAAACAGAAGAGUGUGGCGAGGAGAGGAGGGGAAAAAAAAAAUGUAUCUGCAGUACAGGGAGAGAAAGAGCAAAGCGCCAGUUCUCUGCAAAGCGAGACUGGAGAGGAAGGCUGAAGGACUUCUGGAAAGUGUGAGCAACCACGGGCUUUUUUCUCCUCCUUCUUCUUUAAGGAAACUGUCAGCUACCACCUCCCGGGGUGCAUUUUUUGGGUUAACCAGAGAAAAAAAAAGGAAAACAGGCUUGGCCGGGUUUGCGUUAAGCGAUUUUUUUUUUUUCCCCUCCUGCCUCUGCUGGCCUUGGAUAAGAUGACGGCUUGUGUGAUGCACGAAAUAACGCACGUGAUUGAUUAGGACCUGGCUGGGCUUUGCUGGGGAGCGACCCGGGCGCGCCAGAGACCCCAGGUAUCUCCUUGACCGAGUACCCAGGGUGCAUCUGGAAUGGCUGUGAACGUGUGUGUCAAACACCACGUCUUGUGCCAUAAAGAUGAAAUCCUGUGCAGAAGCUUCCCCCAUGCAUCGUCUUAGCGUGGAAUAGAUCCUUCUUAGCAUCUGCAUCUGAUAUCGCUCCUCAGAGAAACAUGUGCUGAGAUGGAAAAGAAAUCAAGGAGAUUUCCAUGGAGGCAUUUUUAAAGGCAUCAUCUUAGAAGGACAGUAUAAUGGUAAGUGUCAGAAAUAAUCAUUGAUCGCCGCUGGCUUAUUAUGUUGAUGCAUUUUCAGCCUGGUGAGUCCAAACCUAGCAGGGCUCUCAGAUUACUUUGCUGGUGAAAAUAGUUUUCUUUCCUUUC